ACAGGCUCCCGGGGGCAGACCAUAUGGCAAACCUAGUGGAGGCAGACCAUAUGGUAAACCACAAUCACCUUCCUCAGGCGGUAGUCAAGUGAGCUCUGCUGGGAAACACUCCACKCCCCAACUCCUG